rnacentral:lncRNA from 1 species
GCUCCUAGCUUGCGCCUUUUUCCCUAUAUAAGGACCCCUUUCCCUUGGCUCGGGGCGCUUAGCCACACAGAAGCUAAGUCGCCCCGGGUACCCGAGUCUCUAAUAAAGCCUCUUGUUUUUGCAUCCAGUUCGUGGCCUCGCUGAUUCCUGGGUGUGGGUCUCCCUCUACGAAAGUACCUCUUCGGGGGUCUUUCAUUUGGGGGCUCGUCCGGGAUAGAGACCCCCCACUCAGGGACCACCGACCCACGUUUGGGAGACAUCUGAAUAUCAGUUGCAGACUACAGGCUGUUCUAAGUAGACUGCGAGCCCUGGACUUGCUAUGGAUAUGAACCAGUCUGCUGAUGUGGACACCCCCUACCUCUGCAACAGUGUCUGCUAACCAGAAGCCCCUGAUGGAUUCCCCAUUGCCCAAAUUCCUUUUUGCUUUUGACUAGCAUUUCAACCUUCUGGGAUCCCUAACUUCGUCCCAAAGUCAGCAGGAAGCAGUUUGGAAAGAAAUUUUGCCGUCCAUUUUCCCUGGUUAGAAUGCUAAGUCAAAAGGAACUCCCUUGCAUGGGGAUGCGAAACGACAGGGGAUGCUCACUGGAAGCCUUCAUCCUCAUGGGACAAGAUUCAGGUAACCAGAGGAUGGCAAAAGGGCUCCACCGGUACCACCUCUAUGCCUCUCCUUAUUUC